AGAGAGAGAGAGAGAGAGAGAAAGGGUAGCUACAAUUCUUUAUCUUGUUCGAGCAUAAAGGUAUAAGUCUGAAAAGACUUGAGUUUUUACCAACUUCCGGCAGCAAUUGAGUGUAGCCGAAGUGCCAGGGCGGCUGGCAUUCGAAGAAGAAAUUGAAGAAAAAUCCGGCGAUGAACUCUAAUUUGGUGCCUGAGGGUCACCAGUGAAGAUUAAAAGAAGUUAGGGAGGCUCUAAAUAGAAUUCAAAGAGGCUGGAAUCUAUCUCAAAGUCGGAUUCCAUCUAAUGAGCUCGGGAGGAGGGAGUCGCCUUCCCUCUUCUUAUGUGCCAUGCACGCACGUGCAGGGGGGAGGGCUGGGUGUUACAGAUGUGAUGGUGGGCUAAUCGAUGCAAUAGGAGUUUACUUGAAGCCUAACUAAUGCAGCUGGUAUAUAUGAGCAGUAAACUUCUGAGAGGCUUGGUCUUCGGUGCAUGUACGCUCUCUAUAAAUCCUGCUGAACUUGGCACUUUUCUGUGUUCUCUAAUAAUUAGGGGAUGAUAUGCUGAACUAGCUUGUUACGUUGUAAUCCUUUUCGAACAUAUAUGAAGAUAUCUAAUGGCUUGCAUUUCCCUUAGUCCCAUUCUAUCUUUUUGAAGUCUUCCAUCCAGACGCAACAUAAUCCAAUCACUCAUGGCUCAAAAUUUAGCUCCAAACGUCCUGACGGAUCUUAGACAUGGAACAGCCACUGAAUUAUAUGCUGUUUGCAAAGACAAUAUCUUCCGCAUCUAAGAAUGGGAAUGGUCGGUACCCUCUUUAAUGCCCAUUCUCUUAUUGCAACAAUGAUAACACCAAUGGUAAGCAUUAAAAAUAAAAAUCAUUUACCGAACACAACUACCAGAUGAUUUCAAAGUGAUGAUUUGCACCAAAACAGGUUCCAUUAAAAAUAAAAAUCUUGUGCAUUGCUUGGA
rnacentral:lncRNA from 1 species